AGGCACCAAACGCAUCUAGGCGAGGCUCAGAAUAAUAAUGUACAGCAAGAAGUCUCCAUGUUCAAAUAGCAACUGCAGGUUAAUCUGGACCGAGUGUUUGUCCUUCAGCUUCUGGUCUGCAUGACAGCUAUUCACUUGAAAUAGCAUUUCAGUGGGGGAAAAAAAGAAAAAGGAAGAUGUCCCUCAUGACAGUGCUUUCAGCCAACCUUUGGAAGGCGUUGGUUUACCCUUAACAGGAAAGGUGCAGCCUCUCUGAAGGACCCAUCUCAUCCGUCUUUGGUACCCGUGAUGUUAUGAAGCAGUUUGGAGAAGAAAGUGCAGAAUGACUGCUCUGAAUGCAGCUGAAGUGGAGGAGCGUUAAGGAGAGCUGGGUAUAAUUACCUGAGCUGGAGCUCAGCCAGCACGGUGCUGAUCUGCGGAACAGGAAAGUCCUGACUCUGCACAAGGGAUCCAGGCAGAUUUGAAAGAAACUGCAAUAACACAGGUGGGAUUUGAGUAUCUGGGAAGGUAUUUGAGAGUGAAUGAACCCCCAGCUAUGACCUACCGGGAGCGUGACAGGAAACAAAGCAGCUAGAUCAAGAACAGAGGAGUAUAACGGCAGUAUAUGUGGCACAGGCUGCCUUAUACGCAGUCAGCGCUACCUGAUAAAACUGUAAGCAUUUAAGUGAACUAAAUUCUUGGAGUUCAUUUAACCCUCUACCCAAUCCGAAUGACAUGAGCACAGAGGAAAACAAGACAAGUUAUCUCUCUUUUGCCCUUAAAUAGCGAUGAAUAAGAACUGAGUCAGAGCUGAAAAUUAUGGUGCGUCCUUAAGGUAACACCAGGUUAAUUAGCCAUCAUAAAAGGAGAGCUUGUGCAGGAGGAAGGAUUUCUCCCUGCUGGGACACUCCUUGACUGAGGAGACCUGGUCUUACCUGGAAGGAUGUUACCUUUACCUCCAUAGUCCUUAAAGGGCAGUUAUUCUACCACUUAGCCACAAACUCCAGGCUGCUUCAGCACUGAGCAAGCUUUUCAUUUCUCCUUCAUUGAAACCAAGCCUUCGCAAAUCAGAAAACUGAUACAAGCGACAGAAGGAUGAUAAGGGGUUUGCUGCCAGCCGCGGUUCAUUUUAAGGUCCUCCUCUGCUUUUCGUUGUGUUUGCUGGGAGCUAAACGUGUACUCAGGUGGCUGCCAUUGAUCUGAUUGUCCGCAAAGCUUUUCGGUGCUUCUGAACUUUCUCUUUCAGGCAUUCUAAAUGGUUCAUCAGUUUUGUCAAAAAAAAAAAAAAAAAAAAAAAGGAAGAAAAGUGAUUUAAAAAGGAAUGCAAAUGGAAACGUGGAGAGCCGGUGGAUGGGAGCAGGGAAGGUGGCUCGGAAAGCAAUGUGAAAAACAAGGCAAUGAAAUGAGGGCCUGACAAGAAAGUGGGGCGUGAAGAAAUCCAAGCAGGACAGCAGAAGGGGUUUGAAACUCUGCCUUUUUCUCACUGGAAGGUUUUCUCUUUUCUUACUUUCUCUGAGCUCUUUUUUCCCCCCCUUCAGCUCAUUUGUUUUAUGCCAAGAGGCUUAUUUGUCUUUCCUGGCUUAUUGGUGGUGUAUCUGGAUUUAACCGCCCUGAUAAAUCAGCUCCUCCAAAGACUGAGAUCUCAGCAUGCAAAUGAGGAUGGAUUUUCAGCUAAUUUAAACUGAUACACAUCUGAUGAAGCAACGUUCAGCCACGUGGAAUUCCAGUGCUUGAGCAAAUGCAUAACAAUGAACAUGAUUCCCCGUCAACGUGUCAGAAAAAGCCAUCGUCUGCUUCUUCCAAAGAGAUUAUUUUCCAUUUGAAGCACACACCUAUAAAUGUCUGCAUUACGCAGUUUAGAAAGGUUAAGCAUGGAAAGGUGUUAUGCUGACACAUAGGCUCCAAGGGCUUGUCUUCUACUGAGCGUAUUACUUUUGCAAAGCGAUAAACCUUUCAUUAUUUUUAUCAGCCCGAAUGUGUUGUCCGAAUUGUGUUUGAUUUGCUUUCCGAGUACCGUGUGUGCUUACUCUGCUUUAGCCGACAAAUGUGAGCCAGGGUCAGAUUGCAAGCUCAGACAAUAGUCUGCAUUUCUCAGCACCUUGCAGGAUUUGGCCUUUCAAUGGUAUUUUUUCCCCCUAUUUAUUAUUGAACACAGAACGAGAGCGCCGUGGAAUGGAUUUGUCUUGGUCGCUGUUCUAAUAUAAGUGGCUUGGACUCUGCAAAAUACAUUUUAAAGGCAGCUUUGCUUCUGAUCUUAGGAAAAGAACUGAUGGGAUUUGGUUCAGCACCGCUACUUUAAAACAAAAAAAGAGAUAAUUAGAAUCCAAGUUUCAGUCGUGCUGCCUUAGAAAGCGAAACAAAAUCAGUAACAAUCCGAAAUCGUGCCCCUUUUGCUGCUUCUCGCUGUAGCAGAGAAUGCCCAGUUCCCUCAAACGUUUCUUAGGGGUGAGGAAUGAGCUGGCAGGAAGGACCUCAGCCACACCUCAGUUCUUUCGUGGAAAGCCCGGUUGCCUACUUUAACUCACCUCGAUUGGAUUUGCGACUGGAUUUGCACUGCUUUGAGGUGGAAGCGUGGCCUUCCUGCCGGGUACCCUGCUGAGAGCCUCCAUGAGAGGGAUGGAGCAGCCAGGGGCAUUUGGUGCUCCCCAGCAAUGCUCAUCCGUUGGGGCUGAGGGUGACACCUGCGUGGCAACAGUAAGGAAGAAAAUGUCUUCUCUAGGCUACUGCCACUCCUGCCUCUGGGUUCCUCUUCUUCCUCCUCUCUUUUUCCUCAGCUUUUCCAUCAUUCUCUCAAUCACAUCCUUCUUUCAUCCAUUUCCAGAUCUUGCUUCUUGGUGGGCUUCUUCCUCUCCCCCUCUACCAUUCCAGCCUCCAGAUAAUCAGCUGUCGACUCACUAAAUACUGACUGCAUCGUACCAUUGCUGGCCCUCUCAGGCAGGAGAGGUUCAGCUCUUGAGAUCAUUCUUCGAGGAUGUCAGCAAACUCGGGUAAAUGUCGUAAGACUGAUGUCACGGUUGGAAGGCUGCCCACAAAUGGUUUUUAUCAAUAUUUCUUUAAAAAGAAUAAAGUUUGAGCUCUUGUGACUGUAGAGGUGGUCUGAAUAUGUCAUAUGGGUUUAAAUAAUUUCAAAGAUAAUGUGAUUUCCAAGAUUCAUUCCUCAUGACAGAAGAGGAAAAUAAGAAUGAAAAUGGAAAAGGACAAAAAGAAAGAGCUAAUUGUGGGGGAAAAGCGCGGAAGUAGAAAUGGAAAGAAAAACAGGCAUGGAGAAGGGUGAGAAAUACAGAGUGCUCACUUCUUUUUUUUACUGAAAAGUGUGAAACUAAAUGAAAGAAAAGAAACAAAAGCCUAAAGAUUGUAGGAAAAGAAAAAAAAAAAAAAAAAAGAAAGACAAGUGAGAUAAGCUGGAGAUUGGGACUGAAUUCAAUUCCAGCCCUGCAGAGAAAAGUUCCAGCUAUUGAAUUACGGUCUAGAUUCUUUAGAUUGCAGCGUUGUAAGUGAAUAGAUUGGCUCUCUUCUGUGCUUACACAACACCCCCCGACUUCGGGCCUACCACCACACGAAGGCUUACUGACGCUAAGAAUAAAAGGUUGAAGUAAUUCCUAUGCACUGGAUGACUCGGAGGAACCUCUGCAUGAAGUGGCAGAAAUAAAGACCGUAUUAAAAUGCAAGUGGUCAAAGCAGAUGAGCAAUGGUUGCAAGGUCAACGUCAAUUCCUACCCAGCUCCUUGUCACAUAGCACAAAUUUAAUCUGAGCUUGUCCAUUCUUGACUGAACAAAUGCAAAACGAUUUUCAGAGGUUUGGCCAAAUUGAGAGGCUCACUGUAUGGACAGCAAAAUGUACCUCCUUGAUGCCAGCAUUACUGAUCCCUUCAUACUUUAGAUUAAGGAUAUGCUAGGAUUUCCUACAUAUAUUAUAUAUAUAUAUAUAAUGUUAAUUUUUAAAGGCAAAGUGGUAUCUUUUUCUCCUAAGUUGGUUACUUUGGCUAGAAUUUUCCAAAAAUAUUAAAAUGAUGUCAAUAUCCUGAACUACAAUAAUAUAACGCUUAAUACCUGCCAAUGUUCUAAGUAGCUGAAAACAGUGACUUAUAAGGAAAACUAAAAACCUCAGCUACAGAAAGCCUAGUGUUCCUGAUCCAUAAUGUCACAAUGUACACUUACUUCAUAAAUUCCAGCCAAAGAGCACAGUUCACCCUAAAUGCAUUUGCCCUCUCUCGGCCUGCUGUGAGGGUGAGGUUACCACAAGGUACACAGCAGCAGGGCUCGGGACAUGGGAGGAGGCAUUCAGAACCCCACAUGGGAAGCAGGAGAGAGCAGCAGACCCUGUGGUAUCUUGGAUGCCAGUUUCAUGCUUAAUGCCAUCAUUCUCUCCCUGCUGGUUUUAUGAAUUAGCAGGAACUGAAGUGUAGUGUGUACAUUCCAGUUGUGCCAGGGAAUGCAGCCAUCAGCAAGGUCUCCCUGUGACAUACAUUGCGCAGACGCACACUAUUAUUUUCCCAAAGGCUUUCACGACUCGGGACUCCAUUUACUGUUGUAUCACUUAUGCCAGCAAUCGAUUCAUGCAUGACAGAGCCCAGCCUACUCAGAGAUCCUGAAGACUUGGAGGAUCGUGGCUUAAAAGACUAAGUUAAAAAUUAACUCGUGGCAGCUUUUGCUGAAUUCACCUCACCAGCUGAUUUAUCAUUUAGCACAGGACCGUGGCUGUCUUUGAUUUAUGUCCAAAACAGAAGAGUGGUUUUUUCCAGCUGUUGUGACAUCCCAAGGCUAUGCAUGUGUACAUAAAAUGUAUGUAAAGGAGAGGAGCUCUGUUUUCCAAGUGUGAAAGGGAAACAAUUCUGACUCAGAGUGUACGUCAUCAGCAUCCCUUGCCCUUUGUUCCCAAACAUGGUAAGGAGCAAUAGAGCAGUUUGUGGGCUACAAUAUGACAUCAUGCAAGAAUGCACAGCUCUCAUUUUUUUAUGCAUAUAUGUAUAUAACAAUCUCAGUGGAGCAUCUAAAGAAUUAAGGGUUAUGAAAUAUCAGGCAACAGCAACAUCUAAAAGGUAAAUGACACAGCGGAUAGGAAUCUCCCUUCAAAUCGCACAGCACAUGCAACCAUUCUGGUCUGUGACAACUACACCACUAGAGUUUUUUCCAUGUUUAUCCAAAGUAGCUUAGUAAGCAUAUCAUGCAUUCCAUUCACUGAGCGUGUGUACAAAAAUACAGGGUAUGAUGACCCUAAGCAGCAUCUGUAGUGCCUGCAAGCUUGUCAGAAAAGAGAAUGGCUGAUGUUGCUGCUGCUGUAAACUAUUUCAAUGAGUUUUUAUAACAGAAGUGGUAGAAAUAGCUCCCAUUCAACUGCGGCUAUGCAGCUGUUACUUCAGUGGAGCUGUACCUCUGUCACUUUGUUAUAAAAAGGUAAGAGCUGUGCUCCUGCUCUGUGAGCUAAUGAGAAAAGGUUGUCAAGAAUGGCACAAGGCACAUGUAUUAUUUUCAGUUUAGAACGAAUCCAUUUAUCUUUUGUGUUUGCUAAAAAGGGCGAUUUCAGGGUUUUUCUGGUGACUGGAAAAAAGUGUAAUGCAAGAUGCAGGCUUCCUUCUGUCCCAUAUGUCUUAAGUAUACAAAGCUUUUUUUAGAGAAUAGCUUUCUUUCAGGGCGAACUAGCUCUUACUAAAAAUAAUCCUUAUGAGAUCAGAUAAAAUGAGAGGAAUGUUGCUGGCACAUACUGGUACCUUAUUUACAAAAAAAAAAAAAAAAAAAAAAAAAGAAGAAAGAAAGAAAGAAAAAAUGGCUAAAUCAACCUAACCCGUGCCUGUAGUACAAGGAAGGAGCUGAAGAACUGUCCCCAUUGCACAGGACCUUGGUUGAAGGCCGAGAGCUAUUUUGGUUGCUGUGGUCUGCGGGCAUGGAGAUGUAAAGCAGGAGGAACAAGGCCAGCACAAACAACCCCACCCACCCUAACCCCAUGGGACCGGCUGCAGAGAUGAGCAUGGCCAUGUGCUGGAGAUCUCUCAAUGCAUGGGGAUGAUCCAUGCAUCCUUCUGAGGCCUGGGCCUUCCAUCUCACGUGACUGUGAAUUUGCUUUAACCACAACCACAAAGCACAACAGGAUCCCUUAGCUCUGCUUCUGUUUUGUUACUGAAACCCUUCC
rnacentral:lncRNA from 1 species